rnacentral:rRNA from 1 species
CUCGUAGGCGGCCAACUAAGUCAGACGUGAAAUCCCUCAGCUUAACUGGGGAACUGCGUCUGAUACUGGAUGGCUUGGAUUCGGGAGAGGGAUGCGGAAUUCCAGGUGUAGCGGUGAAAUGCGUAGAUAUCUGGAGGAACACCGGUGGCGAAGGCGGCAUCCUGGACCGAUAUUGACGCUGAGGAGCGAAAGCCAGGGAGCAAACG